UCCCGGCGGUCCAAGUCGCAUCCACAAUUAUUGGGUCUAAAACAUUCGUAGCUUGUUUUGUUAGUCUCUUGUGAAAUUUUACAUCUUAAGUGUAGAGCUUGCAAGAGAUACUGCAAAACUUGGGACCGGAAGACGCAAAGAGUAUGAUUGAGGUAGCGGUAAAAUGUGUUAAUCUUAAUCAGACUAACAACAGCGAAGGCACUUUGCGAGUACGGAUCUGACAGUGAGGAAUGAAGGCUAGGGGC
rnacentral:rRNA from 1 species